UGCAAAAGUAAUUGUGGUUUUUGUCAUUGAUUGUAAUGGCAGAAACUGCAAUUAUUUU
ensembl:miRNA